GACGAACGCUGGCGGCGUGCUUUACACAUGCAAGUCGAACGGAAACGCCCUGCAUUUUUGGGGUGCUCGAGUGGCGAACGGGUGAGUAACACGUGAGUAACCUGCCCUUGACUUUGGGAUAACUUCAGUUAACUGGGUCUAAUACCGGAUAUGAGCUCCUGCUGCAUGGUCGGGGUUGGAAUGUUUCGGCGGUUGGGGAUGGACUCGCGGCUUAUCAUCUUGUUGGUGGGGUAGUGGCUUACCACGGCUUUGACGGGUAGCCGGCCUGAGAUGGUGACCAGCCACAAUGGGACUGAGAUACGGACCAGACUCGUACGGGAGGCAGCAGUGGGGAAUAUUGCACAAUGAGGGGGAGCCUGAGGCAGCAACGCCGCGUGUGGAAUGACGGCCUUCGAGUGGUGAACCGCUUGAGCCUGUGACGAAGCGUGAGUGACGGUAAUGGGUAAAGAAGCACCGGCUAACUACGUG
rnacentral:rRNA from 1 species